rnacentral:lncRNA from 1 species
AGGUAUUUUCCCCUUACUUGAUGUCAGAAGGAAGGAAACCCCCAACCGGUCCCCACUGAGGCAUCCCACAGUACCUAUGAUAACUCACACGAUGGUUCUUGUGCCUUUUCCUAUAUGAGACAACUUUCCCUUUCAUCUAAUGUUCAAGGUAUAUAUAGGCAGUGUAUGGUGCAUAAAUCAAACACAGCUUUCUUUGAACCCAAAAUGCUGUUGCUCUAUAUUUUCUUGGUGAGUUGCUGCUUACCUGGCUCAAUGGGAGGUGCAGUAGAAGAAUUUAAAGAAAACCUCGAGGCUCUAGUAGCUCCAGCAAACAAAGAGAUCUUUCUUCCAGUACCCAAGGGGAAAUUUCAGUGCAGUCAUGUUCCUUGUCAACUUAAAAAAACCAUAGAAGGACUGAAAAUUUCCUUUAAGAGUAAUUCAGCAAGAACCCGUAUUUCUCUGAUGGAGAAUAACAUGAAUCACAUAACAUCAACUUUAAAGAAAACACGUACACAACCCAAGAACAUCAUAUCCUGUCCAAUGACAGACCAGACCAUACAGACAGCUCUGAAUAUCUUCAAGAGAUAUUUCCAGAAGGUGAACGAGAACUGCUGGGAGUCCUGAUGGCAGGUGUUGGCACCCCAAGUACUUGGAGACAACUCUUACCCAACACUAGAGCGGUUCUGAUGGAAGACAGAGCACCACAAAGAGACACCACAAUGUUAACGUGAAUGUUUCAUGUAUGAAUGAUCAGAUAUUUAUGUCUUACUGCAAUUAUUAGCAUAUUUAUUUAAUUUAUAGAGAGCGUCUAUAUUUUUAUCCUAAUGUUCAAAGUGAUCAUGAAUAAAAGAACUUAAAAUAUUAUAUAUAAAAUAAUAAAAUAUAAUAAUAAUUAUAUAUAUAACAUUAUAUUGUGGAGGUCGUGCACUAUAAUAACUAAAGUAUUAGUCAAGGCUAUAUGAGUAAAAUCAAAAAAUAUACAGAUUAAGAGUCAGAUCCAUUGAUGUGCUCUUCUGCAGGCACUUACAAAAUUGUUAAAUAUUUCCCACCUGAAGGCAGGAAUAAAAAGGAGAGAAGGUUGUCUUUUAAAUAUAUUAAUAAUUAAGUUUGAGAACAGUGUGUUUCCCUGUAAUCUAUAAUAUAAUUGCAUUGUGUUAUACGUGCAGGAUACACAUUCUUUAUUUGACCAAAAUAUUUAGAGUACGAGCAGAUCAUAUUUAUUUUAAUAUUACUACAAAUAUAUGUUCAACCAUGGUAUCUUCAAUUUUUUUGGUAGAGUCAGGAAUUAGUGUUGUUGGCUCAGUGAAAAGCCAAAACAAAACCCUGAGUGGGUCUCUGGGUUAUUGCCAUAGAAAUAUAGAAAUAAUUGUCAAACAGACAUAGUGGUGGUAGCAAAGCUUGUCUAAUUUAGGCUGGAUUGGUUUGUUUGGUUUUUCUUCUCAGGGCUGCCUAAAGCUGAAUUUUUUAUGAAGAAUGGGAUUACAAGCCACUUUCCCUAAAUAAAAAGAUGGCAUUUUUCUAGAACCUGAAGUGUCAGAGGAAAACAAUGCUUUUGCUAGUGUAUGGAAGUAUUCCCUGAUUUCCAAAUAAAAUGCAGUUGAUUCACUUAGCUGGCUUUUGGGGCACGAAGCAGUUUGAAGACCUGCCCAGCUAGACAUUGUGUAAUUUCUAAGUGAAAAGUACUUGGCAUAGAUGUAUUUUUGGGAAGUUGUAGCCCAUCUCUACUGAAAUAAACAAUAGGAUUAAGUAAUCAAGCAUAGUUAUGUCCAAGGAACCAUCCAGUUUGUGAUGACUGUGCAGAUGGAUAUGAUUUUACAAGAAGCAAAAGGUACACAUCAAAGAGAUUCCCAUCUUGGUAACUGAGAAAAGCUAGGAUAAAUUCAGACGUUGGUAUUAGCGGUGUAACAGAUGUGUUGAAACUAAUAAAUCUUCUCCAGAGUGGUAAUAAGGAAACCUGGAGAACACCGUCCCACAAAACCAUGCCCACGCUGUUAGUCACUGCUGGAGGUUUAGCAAGAGCAGACAAGAACAGAACAAUGAACUUUGAAUGAGCAAACAUGUGAAGGCAUCUCUCUAAACAGGGCCCUUCUGACAAGUUCCCAAGGAAUCAAAAAUGCAUCCAGAGAAACACAGGAAGCAGGGAAACCUGUCUCACACAGAGGAGGCAUUUAAGUACUUCAACAUCUGCUCUCACAAGUAAUUGUAAAUGAUGUACAGCUGCUAAAAUUGAGGCAAGACUGAGAAACAUGACUUAUAUUUUCUGCAUAAAACUGAAAAAUAGGAGCAAAGGCAGCAUUUUACCACAAAGUUUGCAGAAGCUGUAUAAUCUUAGUCAAAACAAACCCCUUUCAACUAACCAUUGCUGAGUAAUUGUAAUCUUAACACAGGCCAUGCUUAGAACUCAUCUUUCCUUCUAAAACAUGUUAAAACCUGCUAAAAGUGUGAGCUACAAUGUGCUGUACCUGCACUGGGGACAACAAUGCUCACCCACACCAAGCUAAACCUCACAAGAUAAGCACAGAGAAAUGCUACUAAGUGCUUAAAUACCCAGACUGCAGUUUAAUUAGCUAAUUAAGCAGAAGACAUCUCUAAUUACAAUUAUGCAAUUUUGCAUAAGGUCAGCUCAUACUUUAAAGUGUAUUCUUUCACUGUUCUGUCUCAUUACCUUGCCGUGGGUCUAUCCACAUAGCAAAAUCUCUUUCCAUUUUGUUCUUCUGGAAGUGUUUUCCUGCAUUAGCACAGGUUAACAGACUUUGGAGUGCAUGUAAUUCUUGUUUUAUGCUCUGUGCUCUUCAGAAAUAGCAGUGGCCAGGAUUAUAAAACAAUUUAGAACCCUCGGGAGCAUUCUAAAGUAGCCUGAGUGGCAGAAAUGGAUUUUUAGUGUGCUGCCAACAUGGUAUAUUAUCCAUUUACCAUGCUGUCAAUGUAUUGAAAAGUCAUUUCAAAGGAGAAAAGAAAGGGGGUCUUUCAAACCAGAUUCAUCCAGGCACAUGAAGAAGGUUUUUAGGAGCGCUGGCAGGGAAAAGCUGCACACACAAGAACAGAGAAAGCUGCAAGAUUUGCUAUACAAACUUUAAAAUUCACGUGCAAUCUACACAAUGCUGUUUACCCUGUGACUGAAGAGGAAAAGCCUUUCAUUUAAGACUUUCAUUUUCAGGAUGUAUAAGCAAAAAAUCCACCCAAACUAGGCAGAGUCUGCUCUCAGGAAGGUCUUGCUGAGUGCAGAGGGCACCUGGUGCUCAGGCAGGCUCCUGCUGCAGGGUGUGACCCUGGGGGAAUUGAAAGCCUGGUCGUGGCUGCCACUGUAAAAAUCAGAAAACAAAGAAACAAAACAUUUAAGGACAAAUAUACUGAUUGGUUUAGGCUAAAAAAAAUCAUAAUCACAGGUUUCUGAGCUCCUACAAAUUUCAUUUUAUGGUGAGGGAAGCCAAAGGAAUUUAGAAAACAGAAGAGAUGCUAAAGCUGCCAGAAGGAAAUCCUGAGAUCUGAAGCAAUAAGCAUCCCACCAUUGUUCUUCUGCCUUGGCACUUCAGGGAGAUACAUGAUAAUGGAUUCAGGGUUUUUUACAAUAUUUCACUAUUCUGGCUACCAUUCCCCUGGUGCUUAAAAGCUUUCUAAUACAG